CUGAUUCCUUCCUUGCUGUAUCCAGUUAUGUUGUCCUCAGAAGCAAGUGCCAGGCGAUGUUCAUUCCACCGGCGUCCCUUGGUGGCACCUCUUGUAUCUGAGCCAUCUAGAGGUAGUCCCCCUUUGUGACUCAGCCUUUCUCUUUCCAUCUCUCAGCUCUGCUUUUCUCUGGGUUGACUUCACUUUGGGACCCACUUUCUCCAUAUGUCAGCUCCUGGCAAUUUUAGCUUGCCCACUACAGCAAAGAGAGUGUCCCUUUGCAGAGAGUUACAAUGGGCAUUCUGGAAGCCAGUUCCAUUGGCUGUUGCUACCCUGGUUUGGGUCAUAUGCUAAUCCCAGCACCAGGCCAGGCCACGAAGGUGUGAGUGGUGCUCUCAUUGGCCAGUCCUGGGCCUGGAGCAGGGGGCUAUGCUGGGUUCAAUCCACUCCCUGAAAAAACAAAAGGCCUGAGAGCGGGACGGGGUGGGGGACCCAAGGAGUCCCAGGCUGCUGUGGCUGAAGAAAUGGCAGUGGAUGCUCACAGGCAAAAACGACCUACGUCAGCUUCUCAGAUCCUCUCCGUUCCCACUUCUCUUGCCUCCGUUUCUGCAGUCACUACCAUGCAGUCUCUCUCGCCUCCUUUUCUCUACCUCCUCACUAUACUAACUCUGCCUUUUACUGCCUCCCAAUUUCCACGCCCUCAAGCCUCCUGUUUACUUUCUCUUCUGAGCCUCCUCCUAUUUCUGCUUACUCUGCUGUUGUUCCUCUUUUACAGUCUCACAUUGAGUUCCCUGGAAGUGUAUCGAAUUGGGUCUGUUAGCAUCUAGGACAGAGUGUCCCUAUUAAUCAGCAGGGUCAUGGGAAGCCAGCUCAGAGCCACCAACCAGCCUCCAGAUUGUUUCCUUCAGGUCUGAUGCCUUUGCCUAGGAUGAUCCAGCAGGAUGAUAGAGCCACAUCUUGUGUUAUAAAUUAAGGGACCCACAUAGAAGGUACGACUAUUGGUGGCUUUGCUCAGAGUACAACAAUCAGAACUUCAUGGCCUAAAGAACACAUUUGGUAUUUGUCCUAAAGGACCAGCCUUCAUUAUCUCUGUCUAUGCUAUAUAAACCUAACAUAACACUUGCUGAAAGAAAGAUCUUUAUAGAGUAGAUGCAAUGUGCUUUUUUUAUACUCUAGGUGAUACCACUGGUGGAUGCAUGGCUGGAUGAAAACUCUAGAAACCAACAACCUCAGUGACUGAAGGAAGAUGAGUUGGACAAGAAAAAGUGAAAGAGGAGCAGCUAUGGUUCCCGCUGGAAGGAAACGGAAGACUUCAGUUCUCUGGAGGGAGCUUCUCCCGCAGCAUACAGGUUCUUGCUGGAACCCUGUUGCAUUUCCUCUGUAGGACACACAGGUUUAUCUAAGCUGUGAAAGCAACACAGAGAUAAGACCCAUGGUGUUUUCCUUGUUAGAAAAAAGCUGUCUACUUCCUGUCUGGAGAAACCAGGGACACUUGAUUUUGAAGGGACUUCAGCAAUGUAAGCACAAAAUCAGCCCCUUCUCUUUAAUUUAAAUUCCACCCUUCUCUUGGGUGACGGCUGUUUCUAAGUUAUUUAAAGAUUUAGAAAGUAGCUAGAAGGUCACUGGGUUUGUGGCGGCAUUGGCUUUUAAGCUUGUGCAAUAAAACCACAUUCGGCUUGUUCCCUAAGGUGAGGGCAGAAAUGACUGGACGGAAUGCCCACCUGCCCAUACAGUUUGAAGAGAACAGUCCAAGUUCUCAAAUAGUUCGAAACCUUUUAAGAAAUCAGAAAUAGUAGGAAACAUUGCAUCUGAAGUCACAGAAUAUGUUAAUAUUAACCCGUGUGGCUGGAAUAAAUGUGCAAGCUGAUGUGUUAAUCUCUGACGUAUUUGGAGAUAUUUCCUUUAUGUAAAUAAUUUAAACUGUCCACAAGAUAACUUCAUUUUCUACAGAGUCCGAUUUGAUUUUAACAUUUUUUGAAGAUCAUGGGAGUUUAUCAUUUUGUUUUUGGUUUCAUUCAAUGGUAGCAAUCUGAGAUAGUCACCUGCCCAUCCCAGGUCCAGUUGUGUAACUUUUAACAAGUUAUUAAACAUCCUCAUGCCUCAGUUUCUUCAUUUAUAAAGUGGGGAUAAUAGUAUCUA
rnacentral:lncRNA from 1 species